GACUGAUUAUAAACAAGAUUAGACGCUGGCGGGGAUGCUUUACAUGCAAGUCGAACGGCGAAAGCUGGCGGACUUCAGUCUGGUGGCAGUGGCGAACGGGUGAGUAAUGUAUCCCGGAACAUUACUAGUAGCGGGGAUAACUACGCGAAAGCCAUGUAGCUAAUGCCAUGCGCCCUUCGGGGGAAAGCGGGGACCUUCGGGCCUCGCACUAUUAGAGCGGCCGAUAUCCGGAUUAGCUAGUUGGUGGGAGGUAAUAACAGCUUCGCAAGGCGACGAUCCGUAGCCUGGUUGAGAGGACGACCAGCCACACUGGGACUGAGACACGGCCCCGAACUCUACGGGGAGUAACAGUCAGAAUUUGGACAAUGGGGAAACCCUGAUCAGCCAUCCGCGUGUUGCGUGAAGGCCUUCCGGGUUGUAAACGCUUUUGGCGAAGAAGCGGCGCAGGAUAAUACCCGUGCAACCCGGUACCUGCCAGAAUAAGCACCGGCUAACUACGUGCCAGCAGCCGCGGUAAUACGUAGGUCACAAGCGUUAAUCGGAAUUACUGGGCGUAAAGCGUGCGCGGUUCGGAAGAAAGAUGUGAAAUCCCAGAGCUUAACUUUGGAACUGCAUUUUGCUACCGAGCUAGAAGUGUGUCAGAGGGAGGUGGAAUUCCGCGUGUAGCGAUGAAAUGCGUAGAUAUGCGGAGGAACACCGAUAAAGCCCGAAACAAAGCCUCCUGGGAUAACACUGACGCUCAUGCACGAAAGCGUGGGAGCAAACAGGAUUGGGCUCUCCCGCAGUCCACGCCCUAAAACGAUGUCAACUAGCUGUUGGGGCCUUCGGGCCUUGGUAGCGCAGCGCAGUGAAGUUGACCGCCUGGGGAGUACGGUCGCAAGAUUAAAACUCAAAGGAAUUGACGGACCACGCAAGCGGUGGAUGAUGUGGAUUAAUUCGAUGCAACGCGAAAAACCUGCACUACCGCCCGACAUGUCUGGAAUCCAGAGAUUUGGGAGUGCUCUCGCAAAGAGAACCGGAACACAGGUGCUGCAUAGCUGUCGUCCAGCUCAUUGUCGUGAAUGUUAGGUUAAGUCCCGCAGCAGGCACAACCCUUGUCAUUGGUGCUACGAAAGGGCACUCUAAUGGAGCUACCGGUGACAAACCGGGAGGGAAGGUGGGGAUGACGUCGAGUCUCGCCAUUCCCUUAUGGUGAAGCCACACGUCAUACAAUGGUCGGGACAGAGGGGUCCUCCAACCCGCGAGAGAGGCCAAUCCCAGAAACCCGAUCGUGAUCCGGAUCGCAGUCUGCAACUCGACUGCGUGAAGUCGGAAUCGCUAAUCAAUCGCGGAUCAGCAUGUCGCGGUGAAUACGUUCAAAGGUCUUGUACACACCGCCGUCUACACCAUGGGAGUGGGUUUUACCAGAAGUAGUUAGCCUAACCGUAAGGAGGCGAUUACCACGAGUAGGAUUCAUGACUGGGGUGAAGUCGUAACAAAUUCG
rnacentral:rRNA from 1 species